AAUGUUUUGCACGGCCUUUCUCUGUACGUAUUGUUGGUCAAUGUGAGAUCUUCAAGUCACACACAUCUUGUUAAACGAGGAAAUUAAUUUGGCCAUGUACGUGUGACGUCAACCUGUUCACAUACAGAGUCACAUACUGAUACAAAGUCUGGCACGUGGGACUGCAGGGAUUGGUUGAAGUUGCGGUAAAUUCCGUUUAUUGGUCAAUUUUGCGAAAAAGUUGCGGUGAUUGUUCAAAAUUGCGAGCCGCACCAAAGUCACGGUGGUUGGUUGAAUUGCGUAAAUUGUUGUUAU